rnacentral:tRNA from 1 species
CCGACCUUAGCUCAGUUGGUAGAACGGAGGACUGUAGUAUGUGCAGAUAAAUCGUUAGGUCGCUGGUUCGAAUCCGGCAGGUCGGA